CAGGAGACAGGCUAGGAGACAGGUCAGGAGACAGGCUAGGAGACAAGAGACAGGAGACAGGCCAGGAGACAGGUCAGGAGACGGGAGACAGGAGACAGGUCAGGAGACAGGCCAGGAGACAGGUCAGGAGACAGGAGACAGGCCAGGAGACAGGAGACAGGUCAGGAGACAGGUCAGGAGACAGGAGACAGGGCAGGAGACAGGUCAGGAGACAGGUCAGGAGACAGGAGACAGGCGACAGGUCAGGAGACAGGAGACAGGUCAGGAGACAGGAGACAGGAGACAGGCCAGGAGACAGGAGACAGGAGACAGGCCAGGAGACAGGAGACAGGUCAGGAGACAGGCCAGGAGACAGGAGACAGGCCAGGAGACAGGAGACAGGUCAGGAGACAGGAGACAGGCCAGGAGACAGGUCAGGAGACAGGAGACAGGUCAGGAGACAGGAGACAGGUCAGGAGACAGGAGACAGGUCAG